rnacentral:lncRNA from 1 species
GGGGUAUUCUGGUUGCCUUACCCAGCUCUGAAGUCUGUCAGCCUCUUCAGAUGUCACUUGCCAUGUGGUAAGGAAGUGUAGUCAGCAGCUGGUGCAGUGGGAAGAAGAGAAAGGAAGUUCCCCAAGACAAAAACAUCUCGGCAGACCGUGAUCAUGGGCUACAUUCUCCGUACCAGCUUCAUAGCUCCAGUGAGAAAAUAAAUUCCUGCAUCCAGGAGAUGUGGAGUAAGAGAUACAGCUGCCCUUGACCAUAUUUCUUACUUCCGAGAAGAUCGUAGCAGUAAUUCAGUACAGUCUUCAGGGAACACCAAGGCCUGUUUGAUUUUCCAAGUAUCAACAAGUGGAGUUGACAAGAGUGACAAGUGGUCAGAGCAAAGCAUUUCAUGAUGACUGUAACGUGCCUGUGUCAGCAGCGACUGCUUACAGUGAGAUUCACAUGACCAUCGUUUAUGACAUAGGAAGAAUAAAAGGAGAGAGAGAGAGAAAGAUAGGUAGUUGAUCAAAAUGAAGAAUUGGAUUUGGAAAGCAACUUCGAAUAGUCUCUGCUUAUAUUUCUGAGAUUAAGGCAAACAGUCUCAAGAAUCUCAUCCAGGAUACCUCAUCACAGUGUCUCACUCUCUCUCCCAGGCUGGAGUGCAGUGUCAUGAGCUUGGCUCACUACAGCCUCCAUCUUCUGUGCUUAAGGAUCCUUCCCUCUCAACCUCCAAGGUAGCUGAGACUACAGGCAACAUUCGAAACCCAGGUGCCACUCCUUCAGGAAGGUACCAUCAAGCUCCAAGGACUCAUCCUCUUUCUCCUUCCCCACUACCUAGUCAUUAGAGCGUCAGCAUCCACUUCCUGAAAGGAAGAUGCCUGUUUUUCACAUAUCCCAGAAAGCCUCAUUUUAGGACAGCAUUUAGCAGAGUGUAUUCAGGAUCCCACUAACCUUUUCGGAAGACAUGACUUCCAGAUGAUAUAAGGCUCCAUCAGGAACUGUGCAGGACUGUGCACUCUGUUGAUACUCACAUGGUGGAAUUAUAUUGCCCUUGGCCAACCCUAAAGCCAUCAAGAUAGCAGCAACUACUCUAUCAUUACUGUACCACCACCUGUAUGGAUCUCGUUGCCCAUAUGAAACUGAGUAAGGAACAAUGUGCAUCACACUCACAGAGAAAGAUGGACAAGUUUGGAAUAAUUCACUGUCGAAGUCUUCUUGAGCUGAGCAGUCAUGUGAGCUUGGAAGAUGAUCCCUCUCCAGCUGAUCCUUCAGCUCAGGCCAUCAUCUACAUCUGGAUUCCUGACCCGGAGAAACUAUGAGUAAUGUGUGCUGCUUUUGAGCCACUAAGCUACAUGAAUUAAUGAAGGAUCAUUAUUAAGUUUUUAAUGGGUCAAGAGAAAGUUACCACUGAGGUCUUCUCUACCUGGGCAACAAUUGACUCCUAACAACCACUAUAAGCUUGGAAGAUGAUCCCUCCCCAGCUGAUCCUUCAGCUGAACCUUUGAUACUCCUCUGAGUGAAUCGAUGGCUGAGUGUCCUGGGUAGUGAAUAUGGGAUUCCUCAACCCGGAUUCAACAGGGAUUUCCAUCUGAAGAAACAAUUCAGGGCUCCAGAAAGCAGUCUGGGAUUUCUUUAGCACCUGAAAUGUGGACUGUGCAAAUACCAACAGGAUUGUAUUGAGAGGAACACAUUCUCUAGUGAAGGAUGCCUUCCUGCAGGGAAUUUCCACUGAAGUACCUCUGGUUGAAAAGGAGAACAGAGACUUUUUUCACAGCCACAGGACAAAAUUUGUUCAGAAUUAAAUGCUGAAAAAGGAGAACCUGACACCAUUAUUCAUAAUUUCACUGUAUAUGAAGAGCAACCCUAUACUCCAUACAAACAACAUAGACUGUGGAAUUAUGUUGUGAAAUGUAAAGAGAAGAUGAUUCCCAAAUUUAAAGGAAACUGGAGGUGUUCUGGAGAAACAAAUAGAGGCUGGAGUGCCGUGGCACAAUUAUGGUUCACCAGCCUCAACCUCCUGGGAUCAAGCAAUCGUCUCACCUCAGCCUCCUGAGUAGCUGGACUGCAGG